GCUCUGUCUCCCAGGCUGGAGUGCACUGGCGCAAUCUUGGCUCACUGCAACCUCCACCUCCCAGCUUCGAGUGAUUCUUCUGCCUCGGCCACCCAAGUAGCUGGGACUACAGGUCUUGUGAAGGUGCAGUGACACAAUGUGCAUGAAAGAGGCUCGAGCAGGACCUGAUGCACAACCUCCUGCUCCAGAUGCCUGGCUUCUCCAGGGCACCCCGAUGGGUGGCUCUGCCACCCCAGGACACUGGACUGGGGCCACCCUUACAGAACCGGUUCGAAGCCAAACAAUGGCACGUCACAGUCCAGCUGAGCCGGAGGCCUCAGCAGGGUAAGUACAAGUGAGGCUGUGGCCAAGAGGGGCAUAGGUGCCAGGGACUCAGAGGCGGGCGCGCGCAAGUGCCAGCAAGCCCUCACUGCCUAACAUGGCAGCCCCAUGGCUUCCUCUCUUCCCCGUGACCUGACUGCAGCUUUGAGGACAGCACUUGCCCUCCCCUCCCAGGCAGCGGGCCCCUUCCCUGGCCCCAGAGGUGAAGGAGGGCGACUUCCCCAGGGAGAGGAAGCAGAAUGACGGCCUGCAGCUUUCCUGCCGCGGGAGGGGAACUUCAGGUCAGAAUGGCCGUCUCAACCUCAUGGAAGCCUCCCUCUGGACUGACGAGUGACCGCUGUUGUGGUGGGAGGUCCACCUUCCCGCAAAGGGAGCCAAGAGCCCAGAGGGGUCACUUGGGCCCAGGGAGGGUGGGACACAGACGUCUGGGUGGAAGUUGGACAAAGUCUGGCAGAAUGGGGCACCAGGGCACAGUAAGACCCUGGCUGGGACACUGAGUGGGGACAGUCCCCAGCAAUUCCCUUGGAGAUAAAGAGCCUGCGGCAGGUCCCAGAUCCUGACAGAGGACAGACAGGAGGGGACAAGCUGGUGGUGGGGGUGAGCUGGCUAGGCAGAAAGCUC
rnacentral:lncRNA from 1 species